CACAUACACACACACACACACACACACACACACACACACACACACACACACACACACACACACACACACACACACACACACCAUAGCUGCAAGAAUGCUUGAAUUAGGAUUUGGAAAUGUUGGAGAACCUCAGACGGCAGGAUUUGUUCAGGGACAGACUUCCCUGAGAUUUCAAGAUCAGUGCAUCUUGGUGGGGGUCCAGAAUUUGCCCUCCUAGCAAGUUCCCAGAUGGUGGCUGAUGCUGCUGGCCCAGGGACCACACUGAGAACCAAACCUGCAGCCAGAGUGCCGUCACACGGACAGGUGAAGUCAGGCCAAUGACUCACUUUUAGCACUUAUUUUCAUAAAAAAAAAAUACCCCAAACCUACCUAAGUUAAAAGCCUAUAAUUAUCGGUGUGUCUUCAUUUUCUUCAUUUUGUUCCCAGACUCUAGACUCACCCUCAGCACCCAUUCAGGUGCUCAGCACUUAAUAAACAUUUAAUGCAU